rnacentral:misc_RNA from 1 species
GAUGAAGAACGCAGCGAAAUGCGAUAAGUAGUGUGAAUUGCAGAAUUCAGUGAAUCAUCGAAUCUUUGAACGCACAUUGCGCCCCUUGGUAUUCCAUGGGGCAUGCCUGUUCGAGCGUCAUUUGUACCUUCAAGCUUUGCUUGGUGUUGGGUGUUUGUCUCGCCUUUGCGUGUAGACUCGCCUUAAAAUAAUUGGCAGCCGGCGUAUUGAUUUCGGAGCGCAGUACAUCUCGCGCUUUGCACUCAUAACGACAGCGUCCAAAAGUACAUUUUACACUCUUGACCUCGGAUCAGGUAGGGAUACCCGCUGAACUUAAGCAUACAAUAAGCGGAGGA